rnacentral:rRNA from 1 species
UCAAGCGACUAAGUGCAUGUGGUGGAUGCCUUGGCGAUCACAGGCGAUGAAGGACGUGUAAGUCUGCGAAAAGCUACGGGGAGCUGACAAUAAAGCUUUGAUCCGUAGAUGUCCGAAUGGGGAAACCCACUCCGCAAGGAGUAUCCCGUACUGAAUACAUAGGUACGUGGAGGCGAACCCGGUGAACUGAAACAUCUAAGUAGCCGGAGGAAAAGAAAUCAACCGAGAUUCCCAAAGUAGUGGCGAGCGAAAUGGGAUCAGCCUGCAAGUGAUAAUCGAAUGGUUAGUGGAACGCUCUGGAAAGUGCGGCCGUAGUGGGUGAUAGCCCCGUACGCGAAAACCAAUCGGUGGUACUGAGCUUGCGACAAGUAGGGCGGGGCACGUGAAACCCUGUCUGAAUAUGGGGGGACCAUCCUCCAAGGCUAAAUACUCGUGAUCGACCGAUAGUGAACUAGUACCGUGAGGGAAAGGCGAAAAGAACCCCGGGAGGGGAGUGAAAUAGAUCCUGAAACCGCAUGCAUACAAACAGUGGGAGCCCCCUCGGGGGUGACUGCGUACCUUUUGUAUAAUGGGUCAGCGACUUACGUUCAGUAGCGAGCUUAACCGAAUAGGGGAGGCGUAGGGAAACCGAGUCUGAUAAGGGCGAUUAGUUGCUGGGCGUAGACCCGAAACCGGAUGAUCUAUCCAUGGCCAGGAUGAAGGUGCGGUAACACGCACUGGAGGUCCGAACCCACUAACGUUGAAAAGUUAGGGGAUGAGCUGUGGAUAGGGGUGAAAGGCUAAACAAAUCCGGAAAUAGCUGGUUCUCUCCGAAAACUAUUUAGGUAGUGCCUCAAGUAUCACCCACGGGGGUAAAGCACUGUAAUGGUUGAGGGGGUCAUCGCGACUUACCUCGCCAUAGCAAACUCUGAAUACCGUGGAGUGCGAGCUUGGGAGACAGACAUCGGGUGCUAACGUCCGGUGUCAAGAGGGAAACAACCCAGACCGCCGAUUAAGGUCCCAAAGACAUAGUUAAGUGGGAAACGAGGUGGGAAGGCUCAGACAGCCAGGAGGUUGGCUUAGAAGCAGCCAUCCUUUAAAGAAAGCGUAAUAGCUCACUGGUCGAGUCGUCCUGCGCGGAAGAUGUAACGGGGCUCAAACUAUGCACCGAAAUCGCGGAUAUGCGUAAGCAUAUGGUAGGAGAGCGUUCUGUAGGCCUGCGAAGGUGUCUCGUAAGGGAUGCUGGAGGUAUCAGAAGUGCGAAUGCUGACAUGAGUAGCGAUAAAGGGAGUGAAAAGCUCCCUCGCCGAAAGCCCAAGGUUUCCUGCGCAACGUUCAUCGGCGCAGGGUGAGUCGGCCCCUAAGGCGAGGCUGAAAAGCGUAGUCGAUGGGAAACUGGUUAAUAUUCCAGUACCUCUUUGUAAUGCGAUGGGGGGACGGAGAAGGUUAGGUCAGCCGGGUGUUGGACGUCCCGGUUUAAGCGUGUAGUCGUGCCUGGUAGGCAAAUCCGCCGGGCUUAGAUGAGGCGUGACGACGAGUGGUCUUGUACCGCGAAGUGAUUGAUACCAUGCUUCCAAGAAAAGCCUCUAAGCUUCAGUUACAGAGAGACCGUACCGCAAACCGACACAGGUGGGCAGGAUGAGAAUUCUAAGGCGCUUGAGAGAACUCGGGAGAAGGAACUCGGCAAAUUAGCACCGUAACUUCGGGAUAAGGUGCGCCCCGGUAGGUUGUAGAGAUUUACUCUCGAAGGCCGAUGGGGUUGCAGUGAAAUGGUGGCUGCGACUGUUUAAUAAAAACACAGCACUCUGCAAACACGAAAGUGGACGUAUAGGGUGUGACGCCUGCCCGGUGCCGGAAGGUUAAGUGAUGGGGUGCAAGCUCUUGAUCGAAGCCCCGGUAAACGGCGGCCGUAACUAUAACGGUCCUAAGGUAGCGAAAUUCCUUGUCGGGUAAGUUCCGACCUGCACGAAUGGCGUAACGAUGGCCACACUGUCUCCUCCUGAGACUCAGCGAAGUUGAAAUGUUUGUGA